rnacentral:rRNA from 1 species
UGCAGUCGAGGGGUAUAAGUCUUCGGACUUAGAGACCGGCGCACGGGUGCGUAACGCGUAUGCAAUCUACCUUUCACAGAGGGAUAGCCCAGAGAAAUUUGGAUUAAUACCUCAUAGUAUUAUGGAAUGGCAUCAUUUUAUAAUUAAAGUCACAACGGUGAAAGAUGAGCAUGCGUCCCAUUAGCUAGUUGGUAAGGUAACGGCUUACCAAGGCUACGAUGGGUAGGGGUCCUGAGAGGGAGAUCCCCCACACUGGUACUGAGACACGGACCAGACUCCUACGGGAGGCAGCAGUGAGGAAUAUUGGACAAUGGGCGCAAGCCUGAUCCAGCCAUGCCGCGUGCAGGAUGACGGUCCUAUGGAUUGUAAACUGCUUUUGCACAGGAAGAAACACUGAUUCGUGAAUCAGCUUGACGGUACUGUGAGAAUAAGGAUCGGCUAACUCCGUGCCAGCAGCCGCGGUAAUACGGAGGAUCCAAGCGUUAUCCGGAAUCAUUGGGUUUAAAGGGUCCGUAGGCGGUCUAGUAAGUCAGUGGUGAAAGCCCAUCGCUCAACGGUGGAACGGCCAUUGAUACUGCUGGACUUGAAUUACUGGGAAGUAACUAGAAUAUGUAGUGUAGCGGUGAAAUGCUUAGAGAUUACAUGGAAUACCAAUUGCGAAGGCAGGUUACUACCGGUGGAUUGACGCUGAUGGACGAAAGCGUGGGUAGCGAACAGGAUUAGAUACCCUGGUAGUCCACGCCGUAAACGAUGGAUACUAGCUGUUGGAAGCAAUUUCAGUGGCUAAGCGAAAGUGAUAAGUAUCCC